GUCAGGAUGGCCGAGCGGUCUAAGGCGCCAGAUUUAAGCUCUGGUUCUCGAAAGAGAGCGGGGGUUUGAAUCUCACUCCUGACA